AGAUUGAACGCUAGCGGGAUGCUUUACACAUGCAAGUCGAACGGCAGCGCGGACUUCGGUCUGGCGGCGAGUGGCGAACGGGUGAGUAAUAUAUCGGAACGUGCCCAGUAGCGGGGGGAUAACUACGCGAAAGCGUGGCUAAUACCGCAUACGCCCUACGGGGGAAAGGGGGGGAUCGCAAGACCUCUCACUAUUGGAGCGGCCGAUAUCAGAUUAGCUAGUUGGUGAGGUAAAGGCUCACCAAGGCGACGAUCUGUAGCUGGUUCGAGAGGACGACCAGCCACACUGGGACUGAGACACGGCCCAGACUCCUACGGGAGGCAGCAGUGGGGAAUUUGGACAAGUGGGGAAACCUGGAUCCAGCCAUCCCGCGUGUGACGAUGAAGGUCCUUCGGGUUAGUAAGUACAUUUGUACGAGGGAAGUAAACGGCGUGACCCGUAAC
rnacentral:rRNA from 1 species